rfam:Poa semilatent virus beta genomic segment beta-A, beta-B, beta-C and beta-D protein genes, complete cds.
AGUGUUUUCAUGUCCACUUAAAUCGAACAUG